GGCCUUAUAAUCUAGAGGUAUGAUACUUGCUUUGGGGCGCAAUUGCAAGUGGCCUGGGCUCGAAUCCCAAUAACGUCC